AGAGUUUGAUCCUGGCUCAGGAUAAACGCUGGCGGCGUGCCUAACACAUGCAAGUCGAACGCUCUUGGGAAACCGAGAGAGUGGCGGACGGGUGAGGAACACGUGGAUACCUACCUUGGAGUGAGGAAUACCGGCGAGAAAUCGCCGACAAUACCGCAUACGCUUCGCAAGAAGGAAAGUCCGCAAGGACGCUCGAAGAU
rnacentral:rRNA from 1 species